CCUACUUCCUUCAACAAGGAACUGUCUUAAUAGGGUCCAGACAGAUGGUUCAGUGAAGAAGAAAAAAUAUAUGACUUGAGUUCAGUUCCCAACACCCAGGACAGGUGACCCACAGCAACGUGAAACACCAGCUUCAAGCUCACUGUUGGCUGUGCUGUAGCUGAAACCAUAGAAAAUGGAAGCACAGAUGACAGUGGACUAUUUUAUUGCAUUCUCCAAAUACAAGGACAGUGAAAAAUACUUUGUAUUCAUCGUGUUUUAUAGAGUGGGAAUAUCCUGCCUAAGAAGAGAUGCU
rnacentral:lncRNA from 1 species